UGGGCGCAGCCUGAUCCAGCAAUGCCGCGUGUGUGAUGAAGGCCUUCGGGUUGUAAAGCUCUUUUGUCAGGGAAGAAACGGACCGGGCUAAUAUCCUGGGC
rnacentral:rRNA from 1 species